CCAGUAGAGUGAGGAAGUGAGACAGGGAAAACAGGGCAGCCAGUGAAAGAGGUUUGGCUACGGAGGCUGGGUGCAGCUCCAACACCACAGCAAGGGAGAAGCAAAGUUGUUGAAAGAUGGGAAAGUCUUCAGAGUGGUGCGAGAGAAUUGCUGGGAUCCAGAAGUUCGUAUUAGAGAAAUGGACCAAAAAGGUACGAUGAGAAGUGCUACCAAUUAGCAUCUGAUGUAAAAGCAAUGUCUGCCCUUAAAGUUUGCUGACAACUUUAUGUGAUGGUAACUUCUGACCCCCUUUUCUCUGCCAGGACAGGCUGUUCCAGCUUCACUGUGGGAGGGACAGGGCCUUCCACUACAAUGCUUUUAAAGUGUGGAUUCAAAAUGUUUCAUAUGAGUUAUACCCUGUUUUAAAAUAGAAUGCUAUAUCAUGAAAAAGAUAAAAAUGGCAUUUUAUUAUUUUUAAAAAUUAGUUCAAAUGUAUAGUAUUUACUUAUUAUAAAAUCAAUUAAAAUAGUAAAAAUUGGAAAUCACA
rnacentral:sRNA from 1 species